AGAGCUCUUUGAACCAAUAUAUUACGGUCAGGUUCCUUAUGAGCAUUGUUAACUAUAUUUUUUAGAAGAAUUACCUUUAAAAAAUUAAUGGUCCAUUUAUGCUGGUUUUCAAUUGGUUGGUUCACAACUUUGCCUGCUUUGCGUGCAUAAGGAUUCAGAACUGUCAUGUAUAACAACCUCGUCGUGCUUUGGAAUGUUUCUAUGCAUUUAAUAAGUUCAUGUGUUGUUAUUCUUAACUGUUCAACUUGCUGCAGGUAGUACUGCUGCUUAGUAUCACAGACUACGGUUGGUGCCUUGGCUCGCAAUUCUCGAGACCCUGGAAUGCCAUCAGCGGCAAAUGCAGGGACAAAUGCAGGUGAAUUGGCAAUGCAUGGUGCUCCAUUCUCGAGGACUACUACUGGUUGAAUCCAUCACUGAUUAAAAAAUAUUCGAUCAUCUUGUCUGUUCUUGGUUAAACUUCUUAAAUUUUAAACUGUUGUUUAGAUUUGUGGAAUUUUUAUGCUUCAUUUUCUCUUUGCUUCUUGAUUAGGAAGUGUAAUAGUGUGUUUCACACUAACCAUGCAGUGAGGUUGUUAUGACC